AAAUGAAUAGACGGGGACCCGCACAAGCAGCGGAGCAUGUGGUUUAAUUCGAAGCAACGCGAAGAACCUUACCAGGACUUGACAUCCCGAUGACCGGUCCUUAACCGGACCUUCUCUUCGGAGCAUCGGUGACAGGUGGUGCAUGGUUGUCGUCAGCUCGUGUCGUGAGAUGUUGGGUUAAGUCCCGCAACGAGCGCAACCCUUGUCAUUAGUUGCCAGCACAUCAUGGUGGGCACUCUAGUGAGACUGCCGGGGACAACUCGGAGGAAGGUGGGGAUGACGUCAAAUCAUCAUGCCCCUUAUGUUCUGGGCUACACACGUGCUACAAUGGUCGGUACAGAGAGAAGCAAUACCGUGAGGUGGAGCAAAACUCUAAAACCGAUCCCAGUUCGGAUUGUAGGCUGCAACUCGCCUACAUGAAGUUGGAGUUGCUAGUAAUCGCGGAUCAGAAUGCCGCGGUGAAUGCGUUCCCGGGUCUUGUACACACCGCCCGU
rnacentral:rRNA from 1 species